GGGCGCAAGCCUGAUGCAGCAACGCCGCGUGAGGGAUGACGGCCUUCGGGUUGUAAACCUCUUUUAGCAGGGAAGAAGCGAAAGUGACGGUACCUGCAGAAAAAGCGCCGGCUAACUACGUGCCAGCAGCCGCGGUAAUACGUAGGGCGCAAGCGUUAUCCGGAAUUAUUGGGCGUAAAGAGCUCGUAGGCGGUUUGUCGCGUCUGCUGUGAAAUCCCGAGGCUCAACCUCGGGCCUGCAGUGGGUACGGGCAGACUAGAGUGCGGUAGGGGAGAUUGGAAUUCCUGGUGUAGCGGUGGAAUGCGCAGAUAUCAGGAGGAACACCGAUGGCGAAGGCAGAUCUCUGGGCCGUAACUGACGCUGAGGAGCGAAAGGGUGGGGAGCAAACAGGCUUAGAUACCCUGGUAGUCCACCCCGUAAACGUUGGGAACUAGUUGUGGGGUCCAUUCCACGGAUUCCGUGACGCAGCUAACGCAUUAAGUUCCCCGCCUGGGGAGUACGGCCGCAAG
rnacentral:rRNA from 1 species